UCAAACUGGAGAGUUUGAUCCUGGCUCAGAGCGAACGUUUGCGGCGGGCCUAACACAUGCAAGUCGAACGGGCUAGCAAUAGUCAGUGGCGCACGGGUGCGUAACACGUAGGUAAUCAACCCCUCGGUUCGGGAUAACGUUCUGAAAGGAGCGCUAAUACCGGACGUGUCUUCG
rnacentral:rRNA from 1 species